CUUCAGCUGGAAGUGCAACCGGGAUCUCCUUCCUCCUCGAAUCCCCUUCCUCUUCUUCUUUUCCUUCUUCUUCUUCUCUUUUUCUUUCUUUCUUUCCUCUCUGUUUCACGCCUGAGACUCCCUUCCUCUCUCUCUGUUUCAUUCCGUCUGAGACCAACUCAAAUCCUCCAAUUAAGUCACAUCAAGCACUAUUCACCCUUUGUUUAAUAUUAUUAAAUUCCUAUUUUGCCCCUAACACUUCAACAUAUCUACUAUUAUGCCAUUAACUUUGAUUCCUUUCCAAUUUUACCCU
rnacentral:lncRNA from 1 species